AAAAAGGCGGUAUGUGGUAAACGGGAUGGGUGGGUGUGGGGGUGGUUGGAAGGUCGAGCUGCUGGCCUAUUUUGGGUCAAUUUUGAGGCUUUUUUGGGUGUUUUUGAUGCUGGUUUUGGGGUCAUUUGGGGGCUGAUUUUGGGGUCAUUUUGAUGCAUUUUAGGGCUUGUUUUGGGGUCAUUUUGAGGCUGUUUUGGGGGUCGUUUUGAUGCUGUUUAUGGGGUGGUUUUGAUGCUUUUGGGGGUGGUUUGGGGGUUUUGAUGCUGUUUUGGGGGUUGUUUUGUUGCUUUUGGGGGUCAUUUUGAUGCUUUUUGGGGCUGAUUUUGAUGCUUUUCGGACUGGUUUUGGGGUUGUUUUGAUGCUGAUUUUGGGGAUGGUUCCGAGUUCAUUUUGAUGUUGUUUUUGGGGCUGUUUUGGGGGUCGUUUUGAUGCUUUUGGGGGCUGGUUUUGGGGUGGUUUAGAUGCUGUUUUGGGGUCAUUUGGGGGCUGUUUUGGGGGUCAUUUGGAGGUUGAUUUUGGGGUUGUUUUGAUGCCUUUUGUGGUGGUUUUGAUGCUUUUUUUGGGGUGGUUUUGAUGCUGUUUUAGGGCUGGUUUGGGGGUCAAUUUGAAGCUUUUUGGGGCUGGGUUUGG
rnacentral:lncRNA from 1 species